GACGAACGCUGGCGGCGUGCUUAACACAUGCAAGUCGAACGGAAGGGCCCUGCUUUUGUUUGGUUCUCGUUUGGCGCAGGGGGGUGUAUCACGUGUGUAACCUGCCCUUGUCUUUGGGGUAACUUCAGGAAACUCGGGCUAUUAUCGGAUAUGAUCUCUUGCUGCGUGUGGUGGGUUGGAGAGUUUCGGCGGUUGUGGCUGGACUCGCUGCUUAUCAGCUUGUUUGUGGGGUAGUUACUUACCAAGGCUUUGACGGGUAGCCGGCCUGAGAGGGUGACCGGCCACAUUGGGACUGCGGUACGGCCCAGUCUGGUACGGGAGGCAGCAGGCGGGAAUAUUGCACAAUGGGGGGAAGCCUGAUGCAGCAACGCCGCGUGCGGGAUGACGGCCUUCGGGUUGUAAACAGAUUUCGAAUGAGCCGAAGCGUGCGUGACGGUAAUGGGUAAAGAAGCAACGGCUAACUACGUG
rnacentral:rRNA from 1 species